GAUGAAGAACGUAGCGAAAUGCGAUAAGUAGUGUGAAUUGCAGAAUUCAGUGAAUCAUCGAAUCUUUGAACGCACAUUGCGCCCCAUGGUAUUCCAUGGGGCAUGCCUGUUCGAGCGUCAUUUGUACCUUCAAGCUCUGCUUGGUGUUGGGUGUUUGUCUCGCCUCUGCGUGUAGACUCGCCUUAAAACAAUUGGCAGCCGGCGUAUUGAUUUCGGAGCGCAGUACAUCUCGCGCUUUGCACUCAUAACGACGACGUCCAAAAGUACAUUUUUACACUCUUGACCUCGGAUCAGGUAGGGAUACCCGCUGAACUUAAGCAUAUCAAUAAGCGGAGGA
rnacentral:misc_RNA from 1 species